UCCUGUGUUGCUUGCCGCGGCGACGGAAAUUGACCCCGGAUGAGUGCUAAUCUUUGCCUCUCACCAAUUUGCGGUGUUAGGUCGAUGCGGRAGUACUGCCCAUUGUUCCUUGAAUGCUUCGCUCGUUCGCGUCGCAAUCAUGGCCCAUGGGUUGCUACUAGUUCCCUCGGAUGCAGAACUUUUGAAGGGUGCACGGCUUGUUGAUGUUGUUUACCCACAAAGCGUGUUCAUCGCUCGAUGCGUACGACGGUUGGGCCCGUCUUGGUCCCCCGUCCAACUGUGUUUGGACGGGGGUCAUGCGGUGCCGGCGUCGCGAAGGAAUGCUACCUGGUUGAUCCUGCCAGUAGUCAUAUGCUUGUCUCAA
rnacentral:misc_RNA from 1 species